rnacentral:rRNA from 1 species
GACGAACGCUGGCGGCGUGCCUAAUACAUGCAAGUUGAGCGCUGAAGGUUGGUACUUGUACCAACUGGAUGAGCAGCGAACGGGUGAGUAACGCGUGGGGAAUCUGCCUUUGAGCGGGGGACAACAUUUGGAAACGAAUGCUAAUACCGCAUAAAAACUUUAAACACAAGUUUUAAGUUUGAAAGAUGCAAUUGCAUCACUCAAAGAUUAUCCCGCGUUUUAUUAGCUAGUUGGUGAGGUAAAGGCUCGCCAAGGCGAUGAUACAUAGCCGACCCGAGAGGGUGAUCGGCCACAUUGGGACUGAGACACGGCCCAAACUCCUACGGGAGGCAGCAGUAGGGAAUCUUCGGCAAUGGACGAAAGUCUGACCGAGCAACGCCGCGUGAGUGAAGAAGGUUUUCGGAUCGUAAAACUCUGUUGGUAGAGAAGAACGUUGGUGAGAGUGGAAAGCUCAUCAAGUGACGGUAACUACCCAGAAAGGGACGGCUAACUACGUG